AGUGGCUAAGAGCUGUUCCCAAGGCCACGUGCUGUGGCUCCCACUCAUCAGGACCAGGACUGCAGGGCUGCCGCGAAAGACAGAGAGAACGCGGUGAGGGCAGCCUGGCUGGUCUCCCCCUGACAGUGAGGCCCCGUCUCCCCAGGCGUGUACUCAAGAGCUUGUUGAGAAGUGCCUAUGCUGCCUUCAGCCAGCGGCCCCAGGGUUACUGAGCAACGGCCCCGAAAGCAAAACACUUCUUUGAAGGAACUAAAAUUUUGUCUGGGCUCCGUCAGUCAUCUUGCUGCCAAGGGAAGCACAGACAGCUCUGGAUGAGGGGUCAGGAGACGCCCUUUCUCCAGCCAUCACGAAACGGACUUCCUCUCUCCAGGCCUGUUUCCUAUGCGUUAAAAUGAAAAUGUCAAUCAAGAUAAUAGUAACAAUAAUUCCUGUUUAUUAAGGACUGGUCUGCCAGGUACAGAUGCUUGGUCUGUGCCACCUACUUUCAUCCUUACAAGGGCUCUUUACAGACAAAAAGAAAUGCGCUCAAGGACGUUCCCAAGGUGAAUUGGGACAUUGGUGUGGCACCACUGGCCCUCACCAGUGCAGAAUGCAAAGAUGUUUGGGAGAAGAGUCUGUGCUACACAGGAAACGCUUGAUGUGCACUGGCUUCCUCCUCACGGAGAGGGUAAGUGAAGAGAAGAAUGAGGGCUCCAUUGAAACCACAAGUCGGAUCCAUCCUCGGGCGAUUUCCUCAUCUGCAAAAUGGGGUGAUGGGGCUGACUGUAGACAUCCCUUCCUGGCCAAGGCAGGACUCAGCACACCUUCGCCCUGCCUUUGAUCAGGUGACAAUCCCAGCCACAUGGUUCCAGGCACAGGGCUAAGAAUGCCGCAUGAGGGAUUCCUUAAUCCUCACAACUGUCCAAGAGGCAGAGGCUCUUGUCCCUGUGUCUCUAAGCCAAGGCAUGGGGAGGCUCCUGAGACAGAGGCUCUUGUCCCUGUGUCCCUAAACCAAGGCACGGGGAGGCUCCUGUGGCUGGAGAGUGGCUGGGAGGGUGCUAGAAGGUGAGCCCGCAGCUGGGAUCCAGGACCCGGGCUCGGGGCCACCAGUGGCAGACACCUCAAAGCUGGGCACCUCCAUUUCCACCUGGUCUACCAGGGACUGGGCAGCAUGCGCCUUCCACCCCAUCAUGCCUGUGACCACCCCGGACAGCCCCAGAAUGAAUGGCAGGAGGGUCCAGGGAAGGCGAGGACACAGAGCGGACACCCCGCUGAGGGAGGACCAGGUCCCCCGCCUGCAGCAGUGCCCCCGACGCAGCUCUGCUCUGCAGAUGAGGAAGCGCAGCAGGGGCUGCGGAGGAGCCAACCGUCAGCUGCAGAGCCAGACACCAGGAAGGAAAAGAGAGCUGGCCCCGCUGCCCUUCCGGUGGGCUGAGAGGCCUGACCAGCGCAGAGAAGGGGCUGAGAGGCAGCAGCUCCUGUGAAUCUGGAGCUUGCUCUUGGCGCCCCAUGCUCUCGCCCAGUUCUGAUGCCUCCUGGAGUUGAGGGCCUAAGAGAGACAGCCAGACCUCAGCUGUGUCUCAGACAAGGACAGACAUCUUAGACGUCUGAGACGGAGGAUGAAUGUCUCAGUCCCACCUGAACGAUUCUUAGCUGGGGGCCUUAGAGCCUCCCCACCCUCGGCUUGCCAUCCCUCAUCUCCCCACACUAAGACCCCCGAAGACCUCCUUGCAGAACAGCCAAAGGCUUUAGAAGCCCCAAGCGACCUGGCGGUAGAGGCAAGAGCCCCCACCUUCCAGGUCAAUGGUUGGUGUUGGGGAAUGCGGGCCCCCUGGCCCUGGGUUGGCUCUGGGGUGUCCGUCCUCGACGACGCCGUGGAGUGGAGCAUUAGGGGCACCACCCUGCAGGCUGGCUUCCUCCAGCUUCACCCAUCACUGUGUGGCCUCAGGCAAACAACUCGACCUCUCUGAAUUCAUCUCAGACUCUGUACGAUAGGGCCAAAAGUAGUUCUUAUCUCAUAGUGUCUUGGGUUACAGCUAUGGUCUGCUUAGCACAGGGCUGGGCCUAGAGCAAGCGCUCCACACUUAUUCCCUUAUGCUCUGGCCCUCCCGGACCACAGCCAGCCCAGGAUCUGUGCUGGGUUCACAGGAGGGCUCUGCUACCUGUCCUUGGAGAAGAGGCCACAGGGGACUGCAGGAGCCGACAGCAGGCCCACCCACUGACACGAGAGGCCACACUCACACACGCAUGGCCACACAUAGACACACAUGGCCACAUGCACACGCGGCCACACCAGCAGCUGCCUCUCGUCUCCGUGUAAGUGGAGCAGGCAGGGCGGGGUGGGCGGCGGGCAUGACACCGGGCGCAGCCCUAUUGCUCAACGCCUGGACCGCGCCAGGUCUCAACGGUCAGAGACGCGGCUGCUGGAGCCCAGGAGCCUCGCAAUCCAGCCUCUGUGGGCCACGGGCUUUGAAUAUUUUUAGAGAAGUCGGGUUUCUGCCAAGUUCCUCUCCUUCAGAUUCUUCCUGUUGCUGGUGGUUCCCACCCCACCGGGGUCCUCCGCCCCUGGUGCUCACAGGUCCAUCUAGGCUCCUGGGGGACUUGGCAGAAUCAGAGAAAGUGCAGCUGCCGAGUCAUCCUCCCACCCCAGCCGCUCCCCCCAACCACAAUUCACCCCGGGACCCCGUGUCCCUCAAACUCAGGCCAGGCACUGCGGGAGGCCUUAUGUUUUCUCUCCACCCUCUGUCCCCCGCUUCUCAUUGUCUUUGCCCCCCAUCCCUUUUUAUGUGAAAGAUCCAGGCCUGACCAGCUGGGCGCCUAGGAACAUUCAUUUCAGCCCUUUGUAAGUGCACGCCUUGGUCGUCAGGCGUGAAGAGGCAGCGGGUCGGGCUGACUACAUUCCAAGCCCACUGGGGCAGCUUUUCCUGUGUUUCAGUGGGUUUGUUCAGGCAUGGGCAAAAGUUAUUCUUCCCAGAUCCUACUAGAUCAUAGCUCAGAAGUCAGCAGCACACUAGUGCAGCAACAUGGACCCUCCACCACCUUCUCCAGCCCAAGUCACAGCCCAGAAAUACCCCUGUAGUGGGAUAAGCAGCCAAGGGGUGGGUGCCGUGGGUUUGGAGUCUGCCUGUGCUGUGCUCAGACACAGCUGGAGCCUCAGGGAAGUCCUGGGCUGCGCACGGCACCACAGUGAGUCCAUCACUGCUCCAGGAGGGGCAUAGGUCUAUGAAGGAGAUUUAAAGUUGAAAGUCACUGCCUUACCUUUUUUUUUUUUUUUUUUUUUUUGGAGACAGGGUCUCGCUCUGUCACCCAAGCUGGAGUGCACUGGUGCAAUCGUAGCUCACCGCAGCCUCCAACUCCUGGGCUCAAGGGAUUCUUCCAUAUCAGCCUCCCAAGUAGCUGAGAGUAUAGGUGCACACCACUAUGCCUGGCUAGUUUCAUUUUCUUGUAAAUGUAGCCUUGUAUAGUGAGACGAGAUCUCACUGUAUUGCCCAGGCUGGCCUUGAACUCCUGAGCUCAAGUGAUCUUCCUGCUUCCGCCUCCCAAAGUGCUGGGAUUACAGGCAUGAGCCACCGCACCCAGCCAUUCUCCGUUUUUUAAGACUGCAUUCAGCUCCUAUGGCUGCCAUAACAUAUGACCACAAGUUUAGCAGCUUGGAACAGCAGGCGUUGAUUCUCUGACUGUUCUGGAGGUCAGGAAUCUGACACAGGUCUCACUGGGCUAAAGUCAGUGUGUCACAGGGCUGUGCUCCUCCUGGACGCUCCAGGGAAGAAUCUCUUUUCUUGCCCUUCCCAGCUUCUAAAGGCCGCCAUAUUUCUUGGCCUCUUCCUCUACCUUCAAAGCCAGCAUCUUCCAGUGUCUCUCUGACUCUACUUCCCUCAUCGCAAGCUCCAUCUCUAACUCUGACGCGCUGCCUCCCUCCCUCUUACAAAGACCCUUGUGAUGGUCCACCUAUAUAAUCCAGAGCAAUCUCCUCCUCGCAAGAUCCUUAAUUUAAUCACACCUGCAAAGUCCCUUUUUCACGUCAGGUAACACAUUCACAGUCCUGGAGUGGGGACGUCUUUGCAGGGCAGGAUGAACAGAAUUAUUCUGCCAGUCACACAAACCUCAGGCAACUUAGCUAUCUUCUCUGAGCAUCUCUUCCCCCAGCUGUGAAAUGGGAAUGAUGAUGAUCAUGGUGGUGAUGAUGGUGAUGAGGCGGAUGGUGGUGACAGUCAUGAUGGUGGUGAUGGUGACGGUGGUGGUGGUGAUGAUGAAGGCGAUUAUGGUGACAACAAUGAUGAUGAUGAUGAUGGUACUUUUCCCUGUGGGGCUGCUGGGAGGAUUCAACCGGUUCAUAUUUAGAGUUCAUACAGCUACACUGAGCACACAGUAAAUGCUACGUAUGUAUGUUUGUCAAAUAUAAGAAUUAUUUUGCUACAGGCAAGUUUCUGCCUGUGGGUUUAGCACUUUCCCUGCUGGGUAACUGACUUGCUCUGUAACACGACAAUCCUUUGCAAGUCUUCCAUGGGAACCAGGAUUUCUAUCACAUCAUUAAAACAGCUCAGCAUCCCCUGAAGAUCUGGGAAAUUUGUAUAUAGGUGAUACACACAACGUGAGGCUCCCAACCCUGGUGUGCAAAAGGUCGUAAUAGGGAGUGAACGGAGCAAGCCAGCCCAUCUCUCAGCACCGUAUCUCCCAACACACGGGCCUCCUGGUUCCCUCUCAAGCCAGCCCACCUCUCAGCACCGCGCCUCCCGACACACGGGCCUCCUAGUUCCCUCUCAAGCCAGCCCAUCUCUCAGCACCAUGCCUCCCGACACACUGGCCUCUGGUUGCCUCGCACACACCAGGCAUCUUCCCUCCCAGGGCCUUUGCACUGGCUGUUCCACGUUCCUGAACAGCUCUUCCCCAACCUCCAACCCCACUCCUCCCUUCCUCCCAUCCUCUAGGCUGCAGCCUAAAUGGACCCUCAGGUGGGUCCUCAGAGAACCCCCCCGGGCAUCUGUCUGAAGCGGGCACCCCAUUGCGUCCCCAAUGCCACCCUAUAUUUUCCUUUCAGGCUGUAAUUCCAUAUUCAGCUGUUUGGUCAUCCAUGUCCCCCUCCAGAGAUACAUGGCUCAUAUCUGCCCAGUACCCAGAACCGUGCCCGGCAGCUGCAGAAUUCUCAAUGCAACUUUUGGUGAAUGAGUAUUGAAACCAAGACAUCCAGCCUACUCAUUGGCAAACACUUACUCAGCCCCACCCGUGGACCAUAUGCCCUGCUGGGAACUGCACACAUCAAAAUGAAAAACACACACAGAGAGAGAGAAAGAGAUAAGUGGAUCUUUAGGACACAACGCAGUGAGUGCCAGACAAGCCCUUCUCAGAUGGGUGUGCACGUUGUUAAGUGAGCAGGACUGGAGCCACCCAGCGGCGGCCACCAGUCACCUGCAGCUAGGCAAUGCGCAUUUAAAUCGAUUACAAUCCCAUCCUGUUAAGGAUCAGGCACUCGGGUGUCAUGGCGGCUGGUGGCUCCAUUUGGACAGUGCGGGCAUGGGUCACUUCCCGUUCAUCACAGAAAGUUCCAGCAGACGGUGCUGCACAAGGGUCUCAACUGCACUGUCCCUUCAGGAAGCCAUGUGUCGCUUACAUUUAAGUUAAAAUUAAAGUUCAGAAUUCAGAUUCUGUGUUGGACAAGCAGACAAUAGAGUGUGUCUACCCAUGCAGAAAGUUCUGGUCCACCACGCCGCUCCCCUGUUAAACUGCCUGGGUUGAAAUCCUGGCUCUAUGAUUUCCCCACUGGGGCAAGUUCUUUCUCCUCUCUGUGCCUCGGGCUCCCCACUUCAAGUGAGGGGUGGAUGGAACUCAACACACAGGCCCUGGCGUUCUUCAGGCCUUCCACACGUAGCAGCUGCGGUCGCUGUUGGCACACGGUCCGCUGCCAGCUCACCGGGUGAGUUAGGGAGGGCUGGGAUUCCUACACCCAUCUUAAAGAUGCAGAAAUGAAAGCCCAGAGAGGCUGCUCAGCCUGCCCAGGGCACACAGCCUGUGCGCAGCCAAGCACCUGGGCCUCCAGUCUGCUGCUCGCUCUGCUUCCCAGCCCUUCCUUGAUCUUGGUGACCACACGGUGUGGCAGGACACCAAGUUAGCAGGUAACUGGUGGCGUUUCCAUAGGCUCAAGAAGGAGCGUAUGUUCUGAGCCCCGCAUCACAGAGCCGGUGUGAAGGCACUGAGAUUCCCUGAGCAACGUGGCCCUCACCGUCUUCCCCUGCCAUGAACCCAUCACUGAGAUGAGGGAUUUGUAGCUGCGUCUCCAUUUUUCCAAGGGCAAGGAGAAAGGGAGGCUCAGGAGAUCUCUCAGAGUGUCGCUGAGCAGGCAUCUAGGCCGGGAAAGAGUGGGUGGUGCAGACGCAGGAGCAGGGGUGGGAACCAGUGGGAAGAGCCUGGACGUGCGGGGCGCCGGCUUGAGCGCGGCCCUGGUAUUCCUCGCUAAGUAACAAAUCAUGACUGUGUCUAUUUUUACUUAAUCUUCAUCAUUCCCAGUGGUGAAAGAGCCGUGACAAUUGAGGAAGUGGUGGGUGGACUUCUUUUUUCUUCUUAAUCAAGUGCAAAGCUUUCCUUUAAGAAUCCGGCAUUUGAAAGAAUGUACUGGAACCAAGGGGUCAGGCAGAGGCAUCCGCUGCCCUGAGAACGAAUCCUCAGCUCGUCCAUCCUAACGCGAAGCGUCAGCGCCAGGCUGGCUCCUCGUGGGCCCCACAUCGGGCACUCAGCACUGUGUGUUGUGACAUCGCUGGUGGGCCGGGCACGCUGGCAGGGUUGGGUUGGUUUUUUACAUCCCCCUUGGAAACUCUCACCCAGAGUCCUCUCAGAAUGUGGCUGGGAGCAUUCCCACAAACCGUUACAAAGUAUUUUAGGCGACACAUUUCUAUAACUGCAAUGCUCCUUAAAACAACUUUUUUUCAGUUUUGCCCUUUUGCAAAAUAACUGUUUUUAUACCGAUGCAGAAGCUCGUUCUCUCAAAAUUAUUCUCGGUCAGAAUUGCUCUUGCCUGUGGCACUAAAGAGAAAGCGGAGACAAAGGUUCAACUCUCCUGUUUUGAACCAGGGUGUCCUGCUGUGGAAUUUUGGACAUUUGCCCAAAGCGGCAAACACCCCUCCCUAGCGUCAGGACCUCAGGCCCAGUAUUAUGCAGAAAGAUACUCAGGUGGGCAUCUUCCCCAUUUUCUCUCCUCUGAUAAGAAAAAAAGUCACCAUUUGAAAGCAACCUCAAAAACAUGGCAUCUUGCUGUCCCACAGGGCAGGAAUCCCAGACACAAGGGCCCUUCCACAGAGAUCACUUUCAGCUACACAUCGUUGGGAAAAAACAGCCCCUGUGAAAGUAAACAUUCCUCAUGCCCAGAUCUACAUGUGGCAAGGGGCAGGGCAUACAUUUAGUAAAAUCGUAUUUUUGUCAAAACAAACAAGCCAUGUUUGUCUGGGAAGGAUGCUUAGAACACCAUUGGCAUAGGUUACUGCUGGCAUGGAAAUGAGAAGGGAGAAGCUUCCAUUUUUUACUUCGUACAUUUCUCUAUUGUCUCAAUGUUGUUGCAAAACUCAUAUAUCCCUUGUGUGUGCUUCUUACGUUUGGAUGCACGUCUCCUUGAAAAACAAGAAAGGGAAACUAUUAUUGAGCACCUACUACACGUAGGACACUAGAUCAGAUACUGAAUGUCAUACAAAAGUGAGAAGUGGUAAUAAACGUGACCGCUACCUUUUAA